rnacentral:rRNA from 1 species
AACAAACGCUGGCGGCGUGCUUAACACAUGCAAGUCGAACGGUAAGGCCCUUCGGGGUACACGAGUGGCGAACGGGUGAGUAACACGUGGGUGAUCUGCCCUGCACUUCGGGAUAAGCCUGGGAAACUGGGUCUAAUACCGGAUAGGACCACUGCCUGCAUGGGUGGUGGUGGAAAGCUUUUGCGGUGUGGGAUGGGCCCGCGGCCUAUCAGCCUGUUGGUGGGGUGAUGGCCUACCAAGGCGACGACGGGUAGCCGGCCUGAGAGGGUGACCGGCCACACUGGGACUGAGAUACGGCCCAGACUCCUACGGGAGGCAGCAGUGGGGAAUAUUGCACAAUGGGCGCAAGCCUGAUGCAGCGACGCCGCGUGAGGGAUGACGGCCUUCGGGUUGUAAACCUCUUUCAGCACCGACGAAGCGCAAGUGACGGUAGGUGCAGAAGAAGGACCGGCCAACUACGUGCCAGCCGCCGCGGUAA